rnacentral:miRNA from 1 species
UCAGAAGGAACUACCCUUGCUGACACCUUGAUCUUGGACUUCCAGCCUCUAGAACUGUGAGACAAUCACUUUCUGUUGUUUGAGCCACUCGGUCUGUGAUGCUUUGUUAUGGAAGCCUGAGCAA